rnacentral:rRNA from 1 species
AGCAGCCGCGGUAAUUCCAGCUCCAAUAGCGUAUAUUAAAGUUGUUGCAGUUAAAAAGCUCGUAGUUGAAUUUCGGGGUCAGUAGGUCGGUCGUGCCAACGGUAUGAACUGGUCUCAUUGAUUCCUCCCUCUUGUAGAACCGUGAUGCCAUUAAUUUGGUGUUGCGGGGAAACAGGACUGUUACUUUGAAAAAAUUAGAGUGUUUAAGGCAAGCUAACGCUUGAAUACAUUAGCAUGGAAUAAUGAAAUAGGACGUCGAUCUUAUUUUGUUGGUUUCUAGGGUUGACGUAAUGAUUAAUAGGGAUAGUUGGGGGCAUUAGUAUUCAAUUGUCAGAGGUGAAAUUCUUGGAUUUAUUGAAGACUAACUACUGCGAAAGCAUUUGCCAAGGAUGUUUUCAUUAAUCAAGAACGAAAGUUAGGGGAUCGAAGAUGAUCAGAUACCGUCGUAGUCUUAACCAUAAACUAUGCCGACUAGGGAUCGGAUGAUGUAAUUUUUAAUGACUCAUUCGGCGCCUUACGG